rnacentral:rRNA from 1 species
AAGAAGCUUGCUUCUUUGCUGACGAGUGGCGGACGGGUGAGUAAUGUCUGGGAAACUGCCUGAUGGAGGGGGAUAACUACUGGAAACGGUAGCUAAUACCGCAUAACGUCGCAAGACCAAAGAGGGGGACCUUCGGGCCUCUUGCCAUCGGAUGUGCCCAGAUGGGAUUAGCUUGUUGGUGGGGUAACGGCUCACCAAGGCGACGAUCCCUAGCUGGUCUGAGAGGAUGACCAGCCACACUGGAACUGAGACACGGUCCAGACUCCUACGGGAGGCAGCAGUGGGGAAUAUUGCACAAUGGGCGCAAGCCUGAUGCAGCCAUGCCGCGUGUAUGAAGAAGGCCUUCGGGUUGUAAAGUACUUUCAGCGGGGAGGAAGGGAGUAAAGUUAAUACCUUUGCUCAUUGACGUUACCCGCAGAAGAAGCACCGGCUAACUCCGUGCCAGCAGCCGCGGUAAUACGGAGGGUGCAAGCGUUAAUCGGAAUUACUGGGCGUAAAGCGCACGCAGGCGGUUUGUUAAGUCAGAUGUGAAAUCCCCGGGCUCAACCUGGGAACUGCAUCUGAUACUGGCAAGCUUGAGUCUCGUAGAGGGGGGUAGAAUUCCAGGUGUAGCGGUGAAAUGCGUAGAGAUCUGGAGGAAUACCGGUGGCGAAGGCGGCCCCCUGGACGAAGACUGACGCUCA